ensembl:snoRNA
AAGACUAUACUUUCAGGGAUCAUUUCUAUAGUAUGUUACUAGAGAAGUUUCUCUGGUCAUGUAGAGUACCGAAAACCACGAGGAGGAGUUGAGUGGUCUCUCCUGAGCGUGAAGCAGGCACUGGGUGUUGCUUUACUGCAACUGCCUUUUGCCAUUGAUGAUGGUUCUUAAUCCUCUUCUGAGGUUAAGAGGGAGAGGCCACAGUCUGAGUGGUA